AUCCCUGAUAACAUAACUGCUGACGUUUGGUAAACCAUUUUAUAAAUGCACUGCGAAGUCUGGGUAAUCUCAGCUAUCGAAUUGACCAAAUGAAACGGAUGGACAAUUAUUGUCACACACAUGUCAAUACAAGAUAAGAGCAUUAUCAUGAAAUAGGCCACUUUAUUUCGUAAUUUCGGAGUUUUCCAGAAAACGGCCACGACCAGAGCAUUCAGAAAUG